AAUAAACGCUGGCGGCGUGCUUAACACAUGCAAGUCGAACGGUAAGGCCCUUCGGGGUACACGAGUGGCGAACGGGUGAGUAACACGUUGGUGAUCUGCCCUGCACUUCGGGAUAAGCCUGGGAAACUGGGUCUAAUACCGGAUAGGACCCUGGGAUGCAUGUCCUGGGGGUGAAAGCUUUUGCGGUGUGGGAUGGGCGCGCGGCCUAUCAGCUUUUGGGUGGGUUGAUGGCCUACCAAGGCGACGACGGGUAGCCGGCCUGAGAGGGUGACCGGCCACACUGGGACUGAGAUACGGCCCAGACUCCUACGGGAGGCAGCAGUGGGGAAUAUUGCACAAUGGGCGCAAGCCUGAUGCAGCGACGCCGCGUGAGGGAUGACGGCCUUCGGGUUGUAAACCUCUUUCAGCACCGACGAAGCGCAAGUGACGGUAGGUGCAGAAGAAGGACCGGCCAACUACGUGCCAGCCGCCGCCGUAA
rnacentral:rRNA from 1 species